AGUGAACGCUGGCGGUAGGCCUAACACAUGCAAGUCGAACGGCAGCACAGUAAGAGCUUGCUCUUACGGGUGGCGAGUGGCGGACGGGUGAGGAAUACAUCGGAAUCUACUUUUUCGUGGGGGAUAACGUAGGGAAACUUACGCUAAUACCGCAUACGACCUACGGGUGAAAGCAGGGGAUCUUCGGACCUUGCGCGAUUGAAUGAGCCGAUGUCGGAUUAGCUAGUUGGCGGGGUAAAGGCCCACCAAGGCGACGAUCCGUAGCUGGUCUGAGAGGAUGAUCAGCCACACUGGAACUGAGACACGGUCCAGACUCCUACGGGAGGCAGAAGUGGGGAAUAUUGGACAAUGGGCGCAAGCCUGCUCCAGCCAUACCGCGUGGGUGAAGAAGGCCUUCGGGUUGUAAAGCCCUUUUGUUGGGAAAGAAAAGCAGCAGGUUAAUACCCCGCUGUUCUGACGGUACCCAAAGAAUAAGCACCGGCUAACUUCGUG
rnacentral:rRNA from 1 species